rnacentral:rRNA from 1 species
AUUGAACGCUGGCGGGAGGCCUAAAACAUGCAAGUCGAACGAGUGGCGGACGGGUGAGUAGUGUCUGGGCAACUGCCCGAUGGAGGGGGAUCACUACUGGAAACAGUAGCUAAUACCGCAUACCCUCGGAUGUGCCAAGAUGGGAUGAGCUAGUAGGUGGGGUAACGGCUCACCUAGGCGACGAUCCCUAGCUGGUCUGAGAGGAUGACCAGCCACACUGGAACUGAGACACGGUCCAGACUCCUACGGGAGGCAGCAGUGGGGAAUAUUGCACAAUGGGCGCAAGCCUGAUACAGCCAUGCCGCGUGUAUGAAGAAGGCCUUCGGGUUGUAAAGUACUUUCAGCGAGGAGGCGUUACUCGCAGAAGAAGCACCGGCUAACUCCGUGCCAGCAGCCGCGGUAAUAC